rnacentral:rRNA from 1 species
AUUGAACGCUGGCGGCAGGCUUAACACAUGCAAGUCGAACGAGUGGCGGACGGGUGAGUAAUGUCUGGGAAACUGGCGGAUGGAGGGGGAUAACUACUGGAAACGGUAGCUAAUACCGAAUACAAUCGGAAGUGCCUAGAUGGGAUUAGCUAGUAGGUGGGGUAACGGCUCACCUAGGCGACGAUCGCUAGCGGGUCUGAGAGGAUGAACAGCCACACUGGAACUGAGACACGGUCCAGACUCCUACGGGAGGCAGCAGUGGGGAAUAUUGCGCAAUGGGCGCAAGCCUGAUGCAGCCAUGCCGCGUGUAUGAUGACGGCCUUCGGGUUGUAAAGUACUUUCAGCUGGGAGGCGUUACCCGCAGAAUAAGCACCGGCUAACUCCGUGCCAGCCGCCGCGGUAAUUC